rnacentral:rRNA from 2 species
AGAGUUUGAUCCUGGCUCAGGAUGAACGCUGGCGGCGUGCCUAAUACAUGCAAGUCGAGCGAACGGACGAGAAGCUUGCUUCUCUGAUGUUAGCGGCGGACGGGUGAGUAACACGUGGAUAACCUACCUAUAAGACUGGGAUAACUUCGGGAAACCGGAGCUAAUACCGGAUAAUAUUUUGAACCGCAUGGUUCAAAAGUGAAAGACGGUCUUGCUGUCACUUAUAGAUGGAUCCGCGCUGCAUUAGCUAGUUGGUAAGGUAACGGCUUACCAAGGCAACGAUGCAUAGCCGACCUGAGAGGGUGAUCGGCCACACUGGAACUGAGACACGGUCCAGACUCCUACGGGAGGCAGCAGUAGGGAAUCUUCCGCAAUGGGCGAAAGCCUGACGGAGCAACGCCGCGUGAGUGAUGAAGGUCUUCGGAUCGUAAAACUCUGUUAUUAGGGAAGAACAUAUGUGUAAGUAACUGUGCACAUCUUGACGGUACCUAAUCAGAAAGCCACGGCUAACUACGUGCCAGCAGCCGCGGUAAUACGUAGGUGGCAAGCGUUAUCCGGAAUUAUUGGGCGUAAAGCGCGCGUAGGCGGUUUUUUAAGUCUGAUGUGAAAGCCCACGGCUCAACCGUGGAGGGUCAUUGGAAACUGGAAAACUUGAGUGCAGAAGAGGAAAGUGGAAUUCCAUGUGUAGCGGUGAAAUGCGCAGAGAUAUGGAGGAACACCAGUGGCGAAGGCGACUUUCUGGUCUGUAACUGACGCUGAUGUGCGAAAGCGUGGGGAUCAAACAGGAUUAGAUACCCUGGUAGUCCACGCCGUAAACGAUGAGUGCUAAGUGUUAGGGGGUUUCCGCCCCUUAGUGCUGCAGCUAACGCAUUAAGCACUCCGCCUGGGGAGUACGACCGCAAGGUUGAAACUCAAAGGAAUUGACGGGGACCCGCACAAGCGGUGGAGCAUGUGGUUUAAUUCGAAGCAACGCGAAGAACCUUACCAAAUCUUGACAUCCUUUGACAACUCUAGAGAUAGAGCCUUCCUCUUCGGGGGACAAAGUGACAGGUGGUGCAUGGUUGUCGUCAGCUCGUGUCGUGAGAUGUUGGGUUAAGUCCCGCAACGAGCGCAACCCUUAAGCUUAGUUGCCAUCAUUAAGUUGGGCACUCUAAGUUGACUGCCGGUGACAAACCGGAGGAAGGUGGGGAUGACGUCAAAUCAUCAUGCCCCUUAUGAUUUGGGCUACACACGUGCUACAAUGGACAAUACAAAGGGCAGCGAAACCGCGAGGUUAAGCAAAUCCCAUAAAGUUGUUCUCAGUUCGGAUUGUAGUCUGCAACUCGACUACAUGAAGCUGGAAUCGCUAGUAAUCGUAGAUCAGCAUGCUACGGUGAAUACGUUCCCGGGUCUUGUACACACCGCCCGUCACACCACGAGAGUUUGUAACACCCGAAGCCGGUGGAGUAACCUUUUAGGAGCUAGCCGUCGAAGGUGGGACAAAUGAUUGGGGUGAAGUCGUAACAAGGUAGCCGUAUCGGAAGGUGCGGCUGGAUCACCU